CUUGAGACAGGUGGGACAUGUCAUUUCUCACAUGAGGUCCCGGCGAGAAGGACCUGCUUCCAUCAGAUUCACACUUGGGAGAGGGGCCCGGCCUCCAGGAGCGCCAGGCAGAAAGGGCACCCAUUAGGAAGAAGAACACAGAGGCCAUGGGAGUGAAAAGUUUGAUGCUGGAAAGCAACAGUAGCACAUUCUGCUACAGAGCGGAAUGAAAAACCCUGGGGAGCAAAUUCCUGAGCCAGAGAAUGGAGCGGAGGAACCAGCCAAGGAGGAUAAAGAGACUUAGCCUAGAAAAUAAUGAAGAAGGACAGAAAGAGAAUACCAUUCUACUACACCCGCUGAUGACUUAAAAAAACUACCUGCUGUCAUCAGGGGUUGGUUGGUUGAGCCUUUCCCUGUGCUUGCCUGGCAGACCUGCGUGCUCUGAGGCUGCCCGACCCUGAGCUCCAGAACAGACCAUCGAGUUCAGGAGACAAGCAUGUCAGCCAUGACACAAGGCAGAUGAGAGGGACCCCCAGCGUCCACACGUGGAGGCAGCGGGGGCAGCCGUGACUUCCUUCUGCAGUGUUGAUUCAGCUCCCUUUGAAGGCGGAUCCAUACAAACAGGCUGACCAUCAGGGCUGGUCCCAGGCCACCAGGCUGGGUGCAAUGCAGAAAUGGAGAUCUGCCCCGGGGAAGGCAGGUGAGUGUAGGAAGGAGGGAGGGCUGCGAGAAGCUGGGGGCAGCCUCCAUCCCCCUGUGGCCUGGGUGGGCCUGUGCCCCCCCAACCCCCCGACGCAGCUUCCCACACUGGGAGCACAGUUCCUCCCUCCUCUGCCUUCCUCUGCGUGGUGUGGCUCCUCCUUGAGGGAGAGAGCUGAGGAGGUGGCAUUCUUGCUUCCCUGACUCACCCAAAGGAAGAUUUCACAGCCCCUGGCAAGGGCUGCCAGACAGGCUCACCUGUCACCCCCUGUCCAGGGACAGACUGACCGGUAGCCUUGGCUGGGUGGGGAGUUAUGCUGGGAAGUCUUCCAGGCCCCCUGGGGGUGGGAAGAUGCUCAAUGUUCAAAGGAGAUGGAACGAGGAAAACAGUUAAGCAACGAUGGACUCCAGGGGGAAAACCGGAGAAGAAGAAACUGUAAUUCCAGUCCGUCCACAUGGCCCAGCAGUGAACGACAAUUGCAUGGUCAGAGAGAGCAAAAGCACCACGCCGACUGAAAGCAGCUCGAAUGUGGUGGGGCAGUGGGAGAUAAUGCCCUCAUCUACCAAAACAAGAUCUGCCACCUUCGCAGACCACUAAACCUCAUUCCUCCACCCACCUCCCCACCCCCAUGAAGGCCAACUGACCAGAGAGCAGGGCUCCCGAGGGUCGGGUCGGGUCGGGUCGGGUUGGGUCGGGUGGGUGCCUCUUAC
rnacentral:lncRNA from 1 species